CCCCCUCCCAUAGGCUGUCAGAGAGAUGUGUGUGGGCAGCAUUGUGAUAGGAAUAGAUGUUCCCCUAAGCGAGACCUGCAAAAGCCAUUUGAAAUCUGCUUGAUGGAGAACAGUAGGAUGGUGAUGAGUCUGCAUAUAGAAGUCAGAUUGAGCAGUUGGCUUUCUGGUGCAGCCUUAACAACCUGGAGCUGAACACGCUCAAAACAGUGGAGAUGAUCGUGGACUUCAGGAGAAACCCCACUGCACUCUCUCCACUCACCAUCAUGAACAGCACUGUGGCUGUAGUAGAGUCAUUCAGAUUCCUGGGAACCACCAUCUCUCAGGACCUGAAGUGGGACAAUCACAUAGACUCCAUUGUGAAGAAGGUCCAACAGAGAUUGUACUUCCAUCGCCAGCCGAGGAAGUUCAACCUGCCACAGGAGCUGCUCACACAGUUCUUCUCAGCCGUCAUUGAGUCUGUCCUGUGCACUUCUAUAACUGUCUGGUUUGGCUCAGCUACAAAAUCAGACAUUAGAAGACAAAAGUCGACUAUUCGGACUGCUGAAAGGAUUUCUGGUGCUCCCCUGCCCACGCUUCAAGAACUGUAUAUAUCCAGAGUGAGCGAAAGAGCUCAGAAAAUCACUUUGGAUGCCUCACAUCCAAGCCAUCUCCUUUUUUGAAUUUUUACCAUCUGGCCGGUGCUACAGAGCACUGAACACCAGGACAGCCAG
ensembl:lncRNA